GUCUGCUGCAUGACAUAAAUACUCAUUAGAGAAUUACAGUAUUCAUCAUAUAAAAUAUACUUGAUAAUGGAAGAAUAUUGUGUCUCACUCAGAAUACCUUUAACAAAUAAAAGAGAGUUCCAACUUGUGAGUGGAAAUUCUUGGUUCACUAUCUACGGUGAAGCCAGCAUCGUGGCUGGCUUUUCUAUUCUUAGACCCCCCUGACAACAAGGAAAUUAAUCUCUCUUGGAAAAGAAGGAACGGGAAAAAUAAGAGAAAAAAAAAAGUUUCUGCUUUCUCUUGUCCCUAACUUAAAUGGAGACAAAGAUGCCAAUCAAUCACCCAGUUGCUCUUUUUUUCCAGUGGAUAUUAUCGGUGAAGGGGGUCCUACCCAUAUGAAUCAUGUCUUGAUUUUUAAAUUAGAAUCAGGACUCCACUUCAGUGCAUAAAGGAAAUCAUCCCCUCGCGAAUCACAACCCUCCACUCUCAGGAAAUAAUAUGCCAUUGUUGAAGCUCCUUUUUAUUGGAUAGCUCUCUUAAGAAAUAAAAAGGCAAAUAUAUAGAGGAAAAAACAAAUUUUUCAAAAGCUAGGGAAUGACUUCAUUUGUGGGUCUAUGAAAUAUGGAUGCUAUGCUUUACUAUAAAGCAUUCGUAUUUGAUCAAAUUCCUUAAAUACAAGUGAAAGAAAACAAAAUGGAAAAGCAUAAAAUUGAAAAACGAAAAAGAAGAGAGGAAAAUAAAAAGGAGAGAAGAAUCUACAAGCUACUUUAGUUAGAAAAAAAAAAAAAAAAAAAA
rnacentral:misc_RNA from 1 species